CCAAUUGAAUCCUGUUAUUUGUAUCACAAACAAUUCAAAAGGAAUCUUUCUCUUCUUCCUAACUUUACUUUUUCCUCAUCUUUUUUUAUAUGAAGACCAAACAGAGCAUAAAUUCCCCAUGAGAACUUUACCAAGAAGGCUUUUACCAAUUUCAUAAGAUCUUAAAUAUCUCUCCAUUAGCACGAAUAACUCACCUCCACGUAUUCAAUUACUUUUAAUAUGCUUGUGCCAACUUGUUUGGAAGCUUUAUCGUGGGGAUAGAGAAUCAAGUAGAAAACCCAAUGAAACAGUGUAUGGUUCACAAAUGAACUAGGUAGUUUGUGCUGAAAUAAAAAGUUAUGAGAAGCUAUUCAUUCUUUUGGGAUGAACAUUGCAAGUGCCCUCAAAAAGAUGACUCUUUGAUCUGUCAGAACCAUUCAUUUACUAAGUGGAAAACUUUGGAAGAUACUUGUUUUACUGGAAUUUUUCCCUUAACUGCAUGAUAGCCAAGAAAAUGGAGGGAAUGAAACCAAGAUAAAAAGGCAAUGUAUAUGUACACCAAAAAGUGAGAACUAAAUGAUUUUGAGAUGGAUAUGGACAGGGGCGGACCCACAGCAAGGUGAGGGGGUUCAGAUGAACCCCCUGAAAAAGAAAAAAAUUUUACUUAACCCCUUGUAUAGUUUUUUUUUUGAACCCCCUGAAAAUUUUAAUUUGCACCCAAGACCCCACUUACUUCUCUCUCUCACUCUAUCACUCAGCCUCACCCUCUUUCUCUCGCACUCUCAUCACUAAUCGCUCCCUAGGUCUGGCCGUCAAACACACGCACGGCGCACCACCGACCACCACGCCACGCCACCACCAUCCACCAGUCUACCGGCUCCUCUGCCUUUCUAUCUCCGUAUCUCUGCAACUCUGCUUCUCCUUUAUCUUUGAGGGUUACUGGGUAAGGCUGCAACUUCACUACAAGGGUGGCCUGAGAGUGUUUUUAGGAGCACUGAUCCAAAGGGUAUCAGCAAUAGCAAAUCUCCACAAUGCAUUGCAUUAACAUGCUUGUACUAUUGCAUUCUAUAGUCUCACCUGAUGUAGAGUGAAUUGUAUUGCUUUGUCCAUGGGUUGGCACCCCUUGUGCCAUUUUGGUUGCAUUUAGUUUAGCUGUUUUUGGAGAUGUACUGAUCCUCUCUUUUGAGAAGAGGUUUUGUAUAAUCAAGAUGUUUGAUUUU